rnacentral:siRNA from 1 species
ACCGAUCGGUUAGUGUCUGCCGA